GGACAUGCGGGGAGGGAGAGCCCGCCAGCGAGGUGUGCUGGGCUGCACCCCAAACCGCUUUCCGGAGAGAAAGCCAGGUCCAGAAAGUGAGUGCGCGUGAGUGUGCGCGCGCCCGCGUGCGGGGGCGUGGCAGUAAACAGCAACAACCCACACGCCAGCUUCGCCAGAAACUCCGAUCUCCCUCCCCGGCCGGAAAGAGCGACUCGCCGGAGCCUGGAGGGAUCCAGCUGGAGCCUGGCCUGGGAGCCGGGAUGGCCAUCCACAAAGCCUUGCUGACGUGCCUGGGGCUGCCCCUCUUCCUAUUCCCAGGGGCCCAGGCCCAGAACCACGCCCCACCUGGCUGCAGCCCGGACCUCAACCCCCUCUACUACAACCUGUGUGACCGCUCCGGGGCUUGGGGCAUCAUCUUGGAGGCAGUGGCUGGUGCGGGCAUUGUCACCACUUUUGUCCUCACCAUCAUCCUCGUGGCCAGCCUCCCCUUUGUGCAGGACACCAAGAAGCGGAGCCUUCUGGGGACCCAGGUGUUCUUCCUGCUGGGGACCCUGGGUCUCUUCUGCCUCGUCUUUGCCUGCGUGGUGAAGCCCGACUUCUCCACCUGUGCGUCUCGGCAGUUCCUCUUUGGGGUCCUAUUCGCCAUCUGUUUCUCCUGCCUCGUGGCCCACGUCUUUGCCCUCAACCUCCUGGCCCGGAAGAACCAUGGGCCCCGGGGCUGGGUGAUCUUCACCAUGGCUCUGCUGCUGACCCUUGUGGAGGUCAUCAUCAACAUGGAGUGGCUGAUCAUUACGCUGGUCCGGGGAGGUGGCGAGGCGGGCAACCUGGGCAACGGCAGUGCUGGCUGGGCCGUGGCCUCCUCCUGUGCCAUCGCCAACAUGGACUUUGUCAUGGCGCUCAUCUAUGUCAUGCUGCUGCUGCUGGGCGCCUUCCUGGGGGCCUGGCCUGCCCUGUGUGGCCGCUUCAAGCGCUGGCGUAAGCACGGGGUCUUUGUGCUGCUCACCACGGCCACCUCCCUCGCCAUCUGGGUAGUGUGGAUUGUCAUGUAUACCUACGGCAACAAGCAGCACAACAGUCCCACCUGGGAUGACCCCACACUGGCCAUUGCCCUCGCUGCCAAUGCCUGGGCCUUUGUCCUCUUCUACGUAAUCCCUGAGACCUCCCAGGUGACCAAGCCCAGCCCGGAGCAAAGCUACCAGGGGGACAUGUACCCCACGCGGGGUGUGGGCUACGAGACCAUCCUGAAGGAGCAGAAGGGCCAGAGCAUGUUCGUGGAGAACAAGGCGUUUUCCAUGGACGAGCCAGCCUCAGCUAAGAGACCGGUGUCACCGUACAGCGGGUACAAUGGGCAGCUGCUGACCAGUGUGUACCAGCCCACCGAGAUGGCCCUGAUGCACAAAGGCCCGUCCGAAGGAGCUUACGAUGUCAUCCUCCCGCGGGCCACCGCCAACAGCCAGGUGAUGGGCAGUGCCAACUCGACCCUGCGGGCUGAAGACAUGUAUGCGGCCCAGAGCCACCAGGCCGCCACUCCGCAGAAAGAUGGCAAGAACUCUCAGGUCUUUAGAAACCCCUACGUGUGGGACUGAGUCAGCGCCAGGAGGCUGGCAACUUGGGGAGGGCCCUCAGGACCUGGCGAGAGACUCCCCAGGAGCCCCGUGCUCUCCCCCCUGCCCCCUCGCUGGCUUGGGGCAGCUUGUGCCUCCACCAUGAGGCCUCCCUGUCUGCCAAUGUUUGGGUGGAUGUCCUGGGUGUCCCCCACCCCCUCCUCAGUGUUUGUGGAAUCCAGGAGCCAACCCCAGCUUCAUGCCAGGGUCACCUCUGGCGGUCAUGCUCCAGCCAAAUAGUGUUCUUGGGGUGGCGGCCGGUCAGUGCCUACAUUCUCUGGAGUCUUUGGAGAGAUUCCUGCAACCUCGAGCGAUUUUGCAGGCGCGUCUGUCCUGGGUCUUGCUCCUCUGUGAGGAACAUGGGUGCCUAAUAAACACAUUUCUGCUUUAUUAACCCUUCCUCUGGGAUGUCGUUUCUGACCCGGGUUCUCGGUUUCCAAUGAACGGCUCCUCCACCGUGGCCUGUGGGUGGUUCCUUUCUCCUCUGCCCUCCAUAUCCAGCUCAUGUUGAAAGCUGCUGCUGAGUUUUCCUUCCGUCAAUCGAGUAGCUGAUGCCUCUGCCCAGGGAAAGAUUCUUCAGCUGAGCCUGUGUCCGUGUGGUGAUCGGAAUGAACUUCCGGCUCCUGUCUAGGGUUUAGUCCAGCAUUUGGGCUCGUCUGAAACCAGGCAGCUUUCCUCUGGGACCCCCCUCUACUGGCCAUAUGUGGAGACGGAGCAGGGAAGGCAGGCCCACCAGCAGGCAGUUCUGUGGAGUGGGCUCAGUCCCCACAAAAUAACAUGAGAUGGUAGACGCCCUCUUCCCUGGACGGCACGUCGCCCUGAUGUCCUCAUUCUUCUGUGUCCAGGCUGAGCAGGGCCCACGCAGCACCUUUCCUGCCCUUGUCAUUGGAGCUAGGAGGGACCAGAGGCCAUGGAACUGGAGCAGUGGACCAAGAGGGAGGCCCUGUGAAACCCUGAGGCAUGUGGCUGGGGCUUCAUGGCCAACCCCUCGCUGCCCAGCCCAGCCUCUUCUGGUCCUCAAGUGACUGAGGCCACAAGGAGCUGUCUGCAGACCCCCCAGCCUGCCUCCAUCCCCCUCUUGAACCCUCUCCCCAAAUCACAGUCCCUGUGUCCUUAUGCUGUGGUUCUCCAGAUGGCCGUCCUCAGGGGCCCCUGUCUUCACACCAUAGGCCUUCCAGGGUAUCCAGCAUCAGCUUGUCCUGCUCUGCACCUGGGAGAAUCUCCUCCAUGAGUCUUUGGAGCCAAGGCAUGGCAGAAGUUGGCCCUUGCCCUUCUCACCAAGGCCUCCUGCCACCACCUAGACCAUGGGAGGCCACUGAGCUGGGGCAGAGCUCUCUUGAGGCCUGGACAGACUGCUUCUCUUCAUGGCCUGUGAUCCUGGAUCUGAGCCCCUUUGGUGCUUCACUUUUGUGCCCCUUUGUACUAUGACCCCACGCCUUCCCCACCUUCAAUGAACUGGGUCCCAUCAAGACACAUGGUGGGGGUUUGGGAUGUAUUCUCAAGGACCAGUUGAGAGUCCUGGACCAGAUGGAUUGGAGUCUAGGCCUCUCCCAGGACGGAGACUUGUGGGACUUGGGGAGGCCCCUUAGAUGUGUGGCAUCCAGGACCGAAGAUUGUGCCAUUUCCUGAUAGGCAGAUGUAUAGGUUUCUACCUCAUCUUGGGCACCUUGAUGUGCUGGCAGUGCUCUCCUCACCCGGGGCAUGCUCCAGAGGGUCCUGAUCGCCACCCAGGGAAGUAGGGGCCAUCCUUAGGACCUGCAUGAUGCUGGCACCAAGGAUAGAGAUGUGCACAGCUCCAGACGAAUGGAAAUUCUACAGCUUCGUCUCCCUGGCUUUGUCCUGCCCUCGGACACCAGACAGAGCUGACUGGUCCAAGGGGACCCUCCCUAGUUGUGCCCAGGAGCUCUGCCCUCAGCUCAGCAUCACCUCUGGUGCUGAGCUGAGGGCAAGGAUGAGAGCCACGGCAGUGGGCUGGGCUCUGUCACUCUGUGUCAUCCUGUAGUCAGACCCACAGCUCUCUAGUGCUUCCCUCCUGCCCCAGCGGCCUGUGCCUUUGUCACUGGAGUAUUUUUCCAGAGCUAAAUUGGGUGAAUAGGCCCUGCAGAUGAAGUAGGAUUGUACACUCGAAUGUGACUGCCCACGACCACCACCAUUCACUAAUCCAUUGGACUGGCUCGCUCAGUUCCAUGAAUGGAGGAGUAUUCCCUCUGAUGGCAGGGAAGAGGGGAGCUUUGUGCACCUCAGACUUCUCUUGAUCUGGGUCAGUGGCCCCAAGAUCCCUCUCAGUGAAUAAAGGCACUAUCUUUUCAAGGCGAUAGUCUCACGUGAGUCCUGGCAGUGCCAGCCGGCCUCAGGGAGCAGCCUGCAGUGAGUGUGGGUUUGUUUAUCAACUGAGUCCCCUGGGGUCUGCGGGUGAAGCUCGGGGAGGGACGGGCUUCUAAAAGAGGCAGGCCUGCCCGGGUUCAGGAAUGCCCUGUGGCCCUGCUUACUCCGGUCCUCGGCCAAGCGGAGAAGACAAAGAAGGUGUCCUCGCAGAAAGGCCUGGAAUGGAAGAAACCAGAACGGGCCAGAACCUGUUGCAGGUAACAUCAGGCCAACACCUUGGUAAAUUCCACACCCAUUUCUGUCAAACCGUGUAGCUCAAAGCAGAGUAGUUGGGACUUCAUAAGUGCUCGGAAUUAAACCACCUUAUUCUCUCUUUGUGAGGGAUUACUACCACUGAA